rnacentral:misc_RNA from 1 species
CGCACGUUUCUCUGCGACUCGCACGGCCCGCGCCCACCACCGACCACCCCACCUGGUUCGGUCGGCACUCGGCACCCCGCCCCGCAUACAUGCCGCCGCCCAGCCUCACCGUGGCGCGCGACCCGGCCGCCGCCGCCACCAUGCGGCACCGCAAGGUCCACCCGACGCCGGGCGGAGGCGCAGGGACGACGAAGGAGAUGGGCGCGGCGGAGGGGUGGGCGCGGCCCGAGUGGUGCUCGGCGGCGGGCGCCGCGGCCGUGCUGCGGCGGCACCCGGCGCCCGCGCUCUUCGGGUGCGGCCUCCUGCUCUUCAUGGCCGUCGAGUACACCAUCCCCAUGGUCAGGCCGGACGCGCCGCCGCUCGACCUGGGCUUCGUCGCCACCAGGGGCUUGCACGCCGCCGUCGCCGCGAGGCCCUGGCUCAACUCGCUCCUCGCCGCGCUCAACACGCUUCUCCAUGGUCCCCGGCUCAGCACAGACUGACGCUGACGCUGACACUGACAGCCACCCCACCCGCUCGUACGCACGCGCAGGUCUUCGUCGCGAUGCAGGCGGCGUACAUCCUGUGGGCCAUCCUCGGCGAGCAGCGGCCGCGCGCCGCCGUCGCCACGCUCAUGAUGUUCACCUGCCGGGGCGCGCUGGGCUGCGCCACCCAGCUCCCGCUGCCGGAGGAGUUCCUGGGGUCCGGGAUGGACUUCCCCGUCGGCAACGUCUCCUUCUUCCUCUUCUUCUCGGGCCACGUCGCGGGCGCGGUCAUCGCGGCCGCCGACAUGCGCCGCGAGGGCCGGCUGGCGCUGGCGCGCCUCUACGACGCGCUCAACGCGCUCCAGGGGGUCAGGCUGCUGGCGUGCAGGGGACACUACACCAUCGACCUGGCCGUCGGUGUCGGAGCGGGGAUCCUCUUCGAUACGCUCUCCGGAUGGUACUUCCACGCCAAGAACGCACCGGAGAAGCACUGCCGCAGCUGCCAGUGCCACAAGGCUCUCCUUUCACGCUAGCUCAUAGGUGUGGUGUGUUUGUGCAUGGAAAGGAAUCACGAGUCCCGUCCACUCUUAUGUUUAGGGGCUCUUUGAACGGCUCGACUCUGCUUUACCGCGAAGCUCUGUCAAAUGGAUAUAAAAAAUUUUUCUCGUCCAGAGCCCUUUAAAAAAUAGAGUUGUUUUAUUGUUGAGAGCUAGAGCACUAAAAAUCUGACUUCUAUCCUACUAUAUUUUUCUUAUACACUAUUCGAAAGAAGCCCAUAAGAAAUUGUUUUGCCAAACCGAAUUGCACAGCUCUAACUCCUUUAGAGAAGCC